UGCAGUCGAGGGAUGUGGAGCUUGCUUCCAUGAGAUGGCGCACGGGUGCGUAACACGUAUGUAACCUACCUUCUUCAGGGGGAUAGCCUCUCGAAAGAGAGAUUAAGACCGCAUAAAAUCACAAUGUGGCAUCACAAAAUGAUCAAAUAUUUAUAGGAAGAAGAUGGGCAUGCGGAACAUUAGCUAGUUGGUAAGGUAACGGCUUACCAAGGCUACGAUGUUUAGGGGACCUGAGAGGAUGACCCCCCACACUGGUACUGAGACACGGACCAGACUCCUACGGGAGGCAGCAGUAAGGAAUAUUGGUCAAUGGGCGGAAGCCUGAACCAGCCAUGCCGCGUGCAGGAAGACGGCCCUAUGGGUUGUAAACUGCUUUUGCAGGGGAAUAAACCUCAUUACGUGUAAUGAGCUGAAUGUACUCUGAGAAUAAGGAUCGGCUAACUCCGUGCCAGCAGCCGCGGUAAUACGGAGGAUCCAAGCGUUAUCCGGAUUUAUUGGGUUUAAAGGGUGCGUAGGUGGCUU
rnacentral:rRNA from 1 species